rnacentral:tRNA from 1 species
GCGAGGGUAGCCAAGCAUGGCCAACGGCGCAGCGUUGAGGGCGCUGUCCUGCAGAGGUCCGAGGGUUCGAAUCCCUUCCCUCGCA